rnacentral:rRNA from 1 species
GACGAACGCUGGCGGCGUGCCUAAUACAUGCAAGUUGAGCGAUGAAGAUUGGUGCUUGCACCAAUUUGAAGAGCAGCGAACGGGUGAGUAACGCGUGGGGAAUCUGCCUUUGAGCGGGGGACAACAUUUGGAAACGAAUGCUAAUACCGCAUAAUAACUUUAAACAUAAGUUUUAAGUUUGAAAGAUGCAAUUGCAUCACUCAAAGAUGAUCCCGCGUUGUAUUAGCUAGUUGGUGAGGUAAAGGCUCACCAAGGCGAUGAUACAUAGCCGACCUGAGAGGGUGGUCGGCCACAUUGGGACUGAGACACGGCCCAAACUCCUACGGGAGGCAGCAGUAGGGAAUCUUCGGCAAUUGACGAAAGUCUGACCGAGCAACGCCGCGUGAGUGAAGAAGGUUUUCGGAUCGUAAAACUCUGUUGGUAGAGAAGAACGUUGGUGAGAGUGGAAAGCUCAUCAAGUGACGGUAACUACACAGAAAGGGACGGCUAACUACGUG